UCCCUUGUGUGAGGAAGGCUAAGAAUGAGAUUAAUUUUAUGGUAUUCCUGGAUAGUGGGCAGUGCUGGUUAGUGUUUGCAUUAGAAAUGAGUGCUGGUUAACGUUUGGUUCUUAUGAUAUGUAGUCCUUAUCCUUCAUUACAUUGAGUUCUUCGGGGUUGUUCAGAUUCCGGGUCUUUGCAAACAGAGUGAAUUUUGUUUGCCUUCUUAAAAUUCUUGCGUGAAAGAUUCCAUUGGGAGGAGAAUCUGG
rnacentral:lncRNA from 1 species